rnacentral:rRNA from 1 species
AGCGUACACGGUGGAUGCCCUGGCAGUCAGAGGCGAUGAAGGACGUGCUAAUCUGCGAUAAGCGUCGGUAAGGUGAUAUGAACCGUUAUAACCGGCGAUUUCCGAAUGGGGAAACCCAGUGUGUUUCGACACACUAUCAUUAACUGAAUCCAUAGGUUAAUGAGGCGAACCGGGGGAACUGAAACAUCUAAGUACCCCGAGGAAAAGAAAUCAACCGAGAUUCCCCCAGUAGCGGCGAGCGAACGGGGAGCAGCCCAGAGCCUGAAUCAGUGUGUGUGUUAGUGGAAGCGUCUGGAAAGGCGCGCGAUACAGGGUGACAGCCCCGUACACAAAAAUGCACAUGCUGUGAGCUCGAUGAGUAGGGCGGGACACGUGGUAUCCUGUCUGAAUAUGGGGGGACCAUCCUCCAAGGCUAAAUACUCCUGACUGACCGAUAGUGAACCAGUACCGUGAGGGAAAGGCGAAAAGAACCCCGGCGAGGGGAGUGAAAAAGAACCUGAAACCGUGUACGUACAAGCAGUGGGAGCACGCUUAGGCGUGUGACUGCGUACCUUUUGUAUAAUGGGUCAGCGACUUAUAUUCUGUAGCAAGGUUAACCGAAUAGGGGAGCCGAAGGGAAACCGAGUCUUAACUGGGCGUUAAGUUGCAGGGUAUAGACCCGAAACCCGGUGAUCUAGCCAUGGGCAGGUUGAAGGUUGGGUAACACUAACUGGAGGACCGAACCGACUAAUGUUGAAAAAUUAGCGGAUGACUUGUGGCUGGGGGUGAAAGGCCAAUCAAACCGGGAGAUAGCUGGUUCUCCCCGAAAGCUAUUUAGGUAGCGCCUCGUGAAUUCAUCUCCGGGGGUAGAGCACUGUUUCGGCAAGGGGGUCAUCCCGACUUACCAACCCGAUGCAAACUGCGAAUACCGGAGAAUGUUAUCACGGGAGACACACGGCGGGUGCUAACGUCCGUCGUGAAGAGGGAAACAACCCAGACCGCCAGCUAAGGUCCCAAAGUCAUGGUUAAGUGGGAAACGAUGUGGGAAGGCCCAGACAGCCAGGAUGUUGGCUUAGAAGCAGCCAUCAUUUAAAGAAAGCGUAAUAGCUCACUGGUCGAGUCGGCCUGCGCGGAAGAUGUAACGGGGCUAAACCAUGCACCGAAGCUGCGGCAGCGACACUGUGUGUUGUUGGGUAGGGGAGCGUUCUGUAAGCCUGUGAAGGUGUACUGUGAGGUAUGCUGGAGGUAUCAGAAGUGCGAAUGCUGACAUAAGUAACGAUAAAGCGGGUGAAAAGCCCGCUCGCCGGAAGACCAAGGGUUCCUGUCCAACGUUAAUCGGGGCAGGGUGAGUCGACCCCUAAGGCGAGGCCGAAAGGCGUAGUCGAUGGGAAACAGGUUAAUAUUCCUGUACUUGGUGUUACUGCGAAGGGGGGACGGAGAAGGCUAUGUUGGCCGGGCGACGGUUGUCCCGGUUUAAGCGUGUAGGCUGGUUUUCCAGGCAAAUCCGGAAAAUCAAGGCUGAGGCGUGAUGACGAGGCACUACGGUGCUGAAGCAACAAAUGCCCUGCUUCCAGGAAAAGCCUCUAAGCAUCAGGUAACAUCAAAUCGUACCCCAAACCGACACAGGUGGUCAGGUAGAGAAUACCAAGGCGCUUGAGAGAACUCGGGUGAAGGAACUAGGCAAAAUGGUGCCGUAACUUCGGGAGAAGGCACGCUGAUAUGUAGGUGAAGUCCCUCGCGGAUGGAGCUGAAAUCAGUCGAAGAUACCAGCUGGCUGCAACUGUUUAUUAAAAACACAGCACUGUGCAAACACGAAAGUGGACGUAUACGGUGUGACGCCUGCCCGGUGCCGGAAGGUUAAUUGAUGGGGUUAGCGCAAGCGAAGCUCUUGAUCGAAGCCCCGGUAAACGGCGGCCGUAACUAUAACGGUCCUAAGGUAGCGAAAUUCCUUGUCGGGUAAGUUCCGACCUGCACGAAUGGCGUAAUGAUGGCCAGGCUGUCUCCACCCGAGACUCAGUGAAAUUGAACUCGCUGUGAAGAUGCAGUGUACCCGCGGCAAGACGGAAAGACCCCGUGAACCUUUACUAUAGCUUGACACUGAACAUUGAGCCUUGAUGUGUAGGAUAGGUGGGAGGCUUUGAAGUGUGGACGCCAGUCUGCAUGGAGCCGACCUUGAAAUACCACCCUUUAAUGUUUGAUGUUCUAACGUUGACCCGUAAUCCGGGUUGCGGACAGUGUCUGGUGGGUAGUUUGACUGGGGCGGUCUCCUCCUAAAGAGUAACGGAGGAGCACGAAGGUUGGCUAAUCCUGGUCGGACAUCAGGAGGUUAGUGCAAUGGCAUAAGCCAGCUUGACUGCGAGCGUGACGGCGCGAGCAGGUGCGAAAGCAGGUCAUAGUGAU